rnacentral:tmRNA from 1 species
GUUCUUUCCGCUUAAGGGUUUAGGGCCUAUAUUCAUCUCGUUCCGCAAGGAACUAUGGCGAUAAACCCUCGUGUAAUAAGCGGACCGGACCCGGGGGCAGUGCCCGGCGGCUCCACCAGAAUUCUCCCGGUCGUUGGCCGGACUGUCUGGGGCCGACACAGGAUCGACGGACGUGUAAAGACGAAGACUUUGCCCGCCUGGGCCCCGACAGAAGCCCAUUGCAAUAGUUGCCAACGACAACUUUGCUCAGGAUCAAGCCCUCGCUGCGUAAGCAGCUGGGUUUAUCCUAACACUUAAGUCCUUAGCUCUAGCCAGCUAAGGCGGGGCUCGGGGCGGCGCCUGGCAACAGAAGCCGCCCCACU